UACGAAGGGGGCUAGCGUUGCUCGGAAUCACUGGGCGUAAAGCGCACGUAGGCGGAUUGCUAAGUCAGGGGUGAAAUCCUGGAGCUCAACUCCAGAACUGCCUUUGAUACUGGCGAUCUUGAGUCCGGGAGAGGUGAGUGGAACUGCGAGUGUAGAGGUGAAAUUCGUAGAUAUUCGCAAGAACACCAGUGGCGAAGGCGACUACCUGGCCUGUUCUUGACGCUGAGGCGCGAAAGCUAGGGGAGCAAACAGG
rnacentral:rRNA from 1 species